AUGGGGGCAGGCAUAGGGCUCCCUCUCUGGGCUCGCUGCUGUGGGUGAAUGGGCUGAGGAAGGAGACGAAGGAGGAGGUGGAGUGAGUAGAGGGGAAAGCUGUGGCUGGCUGGCUGGCUGUCAGGGGGGUACAGCGAAAGUUACCCUUGACAGGGCAUGGAACAUCCCCUGCACCAUCGAUCCAGCUUUCAGAAUGUCGGCAAACGAGCUACUUAUUCU
rnacentral:lncRNA from 1 species